GGCUUGCUAGUUACUGCUUUCUGUCUGCCCUCCCAUGGACUGUUUUCCUCUGUGAUGCCUCUCUGUUGUGCCACCCUGCCUUGGAAUCAAUCAACUAUGGGCUGAAACCUCCACCAACUAUGAGGUACCUAUGCUGAUUCCAUAGUAGAACUAGUCUGCAUUGGGCUGCACCAUGGGUAUACAGGCAAGAGCUCCAGAGAAGACAGGAAUAGAGCAAUCAUUUGAAAAAGGAAGUUCUGGGCCGCCAACCACCUGGUCAGGCUGAUUAAUCUGCAUCAGAGGGGGGAGACAGUGUUUUUAUCCCUUUAGGCCUACGACUGGAACAAGAACUGGCAUGACCUGCUACACUUUCAUUCUGGCAACAUGGGAAGGUCAAGUAUAACUUGGUUCCUCUCCUCUGCUGUCAACCACGGACCAUCUGCACCUGCAGCGGAGGUGUCAGUAAGCGCUGUGUCACCGCUGUGACUUGUUCGCCACUCCUGAAUUCUUAAGCAUGAAAACAGAAUAAAACACAUGAGGACCUCCUGCAAAAUAGAUGCUUAAAACAAAAGUCAACCCAAAAAGUUAGAGAAAGGAGAGGCACUAUUGAUUAAAAAUCCUCAAACUCAACCAUGAGAACUUAGUAGGUUCAUGGUCUCAUUCGUUCAACUGGGUCCCAAGACACUGGCUGAUCUGUCCUCAAAGGCAGGUGAAAUAUGAAGUUUUGGGCUAAGACAAGUUAUAUUUACAAUAAGUUAAACUACUCCCAAACGUCAUGGGAUGAACAGCUCCUCAGUUAAAUAGAAGUUAUAAAAAUGCACCAUUCUAAAGAUUUAAGAACCCAUGAUUCCACAGA